rnacentral:rRNA from 1 species
CUCUAUAGCCAUACCACUCUGAAUGCACCUGAUCUCAGAAGCUAAGCAGGGUCAGACCUGCUUUGAUGG